rnacentral:rRNA from 1 species
GACGAACGCUGGCGGCGUGCCUAAUACAUGCAAGUAGAACGCUGAAGGAGGAGCUUGCUUCUCUGGAUGAGUUGCGAACGGGUGAGUAACGCGUAGGUAACCUGCCUGGUAGCGGGGGAUAACUAUUGGAACCGAUAGCUAAUACCGCAUAAGAGUAGAUGUUGCAUGACAUUUGCUUAAAAGGUGCAAUUGCAUCACUACCAGAUGGACCUGCGUUGUAUUAGCUAGUUGGUGGGGUAACGGCUCACCAAGGCGACGAUACAUAGCCGACCUGAGAGGGUGAUCGGCCACACUGGGACUGAGACACGGCCCAGACUCCUACGGGAGGCAGCAGUAGGGAAUCUUCGGCAAUGGACGGAAGUCUGACCGAGCAACGCCGCGUGAGUGAAGAAGGUUUUCGGAUCGUAAAGCUCUGUUGUAAGAGAAGAACGAGUGUGAGAGUGGAAAGUUCACACUGUGACGGUAUCUUACCAGAAAGGGACGGCUAACUACGUG